rnacentral:rRNA from 1 species
GAUGAACGCUGGCGGCGUGCCUAAUACAUGCAAGUCGAGCGAACAGACGAGGAGCUUGCUCCUCUGACGUUAGCGGCGGACGGGUGAGUAACACGUGGAUAACCUACCUAUAAGACUGGGAUAACUUCGGGAAACCGGAGCUAAUACCGGAUAACAUGUUGAACCGCAUGGUUCAACAGUGAAAGACGGUCUUGCUGUCACUUAUAGAUGGAUCCGCGCCGCAUUAGCUAGUUGGUAAGGUAACGGCUUACCAAGGCAACGAUGCGUAGCCGACCUGAGAGGGUGAUCGGCCACUCUGGAACUGAGACACGGUCCAGACUCCUACGGGAGGCAGCAGUAGGGAAUCUUCCGCAAUGGGCGAAAGCCUGACGGAGCAACGCCGCGUGAGUGAAGAAGGUCUUCGGAUCGUAAAACUCUGUUAUUAGGGAAGAACAAAUGUGUAAGUAACUAUGCACGUCUUGACGGUACCUAAUCAGAAAGCCACGGCUAACUACGUG